UUUACAAAUAAGUCAACAUGACCGAAAUGGUCAAUUGACCCCCUUAGGAGUUAUUGUUCUUUAUAGUCAAUUUUUAACAAUUUUCAUAAAAUUUGUAAAUUUUACUAACAUAUUCCACUGAAACUAAUUGGCCAAGUUCAUUAUAGAUAGAGAUAAUUUUAAGCAGCAAGAAUGUUCAGUAAAGUAAGAUGUACAAACACAUCACCAUCACCAAAACAAAAUUUUGUCAUGAAUCCAUCUGCUUCCUUUAAUAUUCACAUAGACCAAGGUGAGCGACACAGGCUCUUUAGAGCCUCUAGUUCUAGUUU
rnacentral:lncRNA from 1 species